CUAGUCUCUGGCACUGGCACUGCUGCCUCUUUAGAGGAGGUCCAACCCACUCUACAGACGCCUAAGCUGUCAUAAGGACAGUGCUGGGACCAGUUGGCAUGGUGACCAGCUGUGCUGAAAGUGGUGAUCUCUAGCGGCUUCUGAACACCAGGAGUGGUUCUAGGCUCUCUCAAUCGAGUGAAAAAUGGUCUCUGUCCCAGAGUUGAGAAGAAAUCGAAGAAGGGAGAAGAAAAGACCCUGGGAGGUGAACCACUGCUCCAGCUCAACAGCUAAGGAGCUCCGAGCUUUUGUGUUCCGUACAGCCCUUUCCUGACUCCAGCGUGGAACCUGAGAAGUGGGAUUCUUCUGUUAGAAUCUCGGGGUCCCGGGUCAUUCAGACGUUCUGCUUCCUGUAAACCGAAAGAGAGAUUACUGAUCGCUGAUCAGGAGGCCCUACAAGGUGACAUCCUUUGUAUUUUCUGCUAUACUUUUCAGGAAAUGCAUUUUUCUCGCUGUGCCCGCGGAGAAGCACCACCCGCCCCAGAACGGAGCGACAGAGUGCAGGGGACCCGGAAGCAACCGAGCGCGUGGGGCUUGGGAGCCGGGCUCCCUAAGGAGGAGCGCGGGAGAAGCCCGGUGCCGCGCGGAAGCUUGGCUGGGCGCACCCCCGCUGCGGGCUCCCGCGCUCG
rnacentral:lncRNA from 1 species